GAUGAACGCUAGCUACAGGCUUAACACAUGCAAGUCGAGGGGUAACGAGAGGAAAGCUUGCUUUCCUUGUCGACGACCGGCGCACGGGUGAGUAACGCGUAUCCAACCUGCCCCCAACUAGGGAAUAACCUUGCGAAAGUAAGACUAAUACCCUAUAAUUUCCUCAGAUGACAUCUGACGAGGAAUAAAGAUUUAUCGGUUGUGGAUGGGGAUGCGUCUGAUUAGCUGGUUGGCGGGGUAAGGGCCCACCAAGGAAAUGAUAAGUGGGGGUUCUGAGAGGAAGGUCCCCCACAUUGGAACUGAGACACGGUCCAAACUCCUACGGGAGGCAGAAGUGAGGAAUAGUGGACAAGGGGCGAAAGCCUGAACCAGCAAGGUAGGGUGCAGGAUGACGGCCCUAUGGGUUGUAAACUGCUUUUAUACAGGAAUAAAGUUAGCCACGUGUGGUUAUUUGUAGGUACUGUAUGAAUAAGGCCCGGCUAAUUCCGUGCCAGCCGCCGCAGUAA
rnacentral:rRNA from 1 species